rnacentral:misc_RNA from 1 species
UUGAAAUAAACCUGAUGGGUUGUUGCUGGUUCUCUAGGGAGCAUGUGCACACCUUGUCAUCUUUAUAUCUCUCCACCUGUGCACCUUUUGUAGACCUUUCAGGUCUAUGUUGCUUCUUCAAUUUGCUCCAAUGUAUGUUAAUAGAAUGUCAUGCUUUUGAAAUCUAUA